GACGAACGCUGGCGGCGUGCUUAACACAUGCAAGUCGAACGGAAAGGCCCUGCUUUUGUGGGGUGCUCGAGUAGCGAACGGGUGAGUAACACGUGAGUAACCUGCCCUUGACUUUGGGAUAACUUCAGGUAACUGGGGCUAAUAACGGAUAGGAGCUCCUGCUGCAUGGUGGGGGUUGGAAAGUUUCGGCGGUUGGGGAUGGACUCGCGGCUUAUCAGCUUGUUGGGGGGGUAGUGGCUUACCAAGGCUUUGACGGGUAGCCGGCCUGAGAGGGUGACCGGCAAAAUUGGGACGGGGAUACGGCCCAGACUCCUACGGGAGGCAGCAGGGGGGAAUAUGGCACAAUGGGCGGAAGCCUGAGGCAGAAACGCGGCGGGCGGGAUGACGGCCUUCGGGUGGUAAACCGCUUUCGCAGGGGACGAGGCGUGAGUGACGGUAAUGGGUAAAGAAGCACCGGCUAACUACGUG
rnacentral:rRNA from 1 species